AAGAUCUCAUCAAGCUCUCAAUAAAGUUUCAGAAUGUGCUGGAAAGAAGCAAGGUUUAAGCGGUAAAGUCUCAAGUCUCACCUAUUGUUCCUAAGGAAUUUUAGGAGAAACAAAUGAGAAGUGUUUGAGACCAAAAAAGAUGAGACUGAAAUGAGAGCUCUCAUUGAGCUCCUUUACGGCUCCAUAGCCAUAUAGGAGCAAGCUUUGAGCAGUAACAUUUUCCUCUGGAAUUCAAGUGAAUGAAAAACAUGAAAGAACAGAUAGGAAAAGGAAAUAGAACAAAAGGAAAUAGAAUGGAAAAGAUGAGGAACGGAGUGGAGGGUGGAAAAGAAGAUAACAUGACGGGAGUGGAGGAGAGGAGAUGAUAUAACAGAAAGGUAGACAGGGGAGGAGUUAUAGGAGAGGGAAAACAGAAUGGACAGGACAAGACAAGAGACAUGCAGAAAUGUAAAAAGAAAGACAGGGGAUGAGAAGAACCAUGGGAAGUUAAUGAGAAGUGAAAAAGAAGGAGAAGAAAGAGCGCAAGAACACAAAAAAAAGACAGAAGGAGAAAGAAGAGACUCAAGCUGGAAAACAGCCGUGAUGAACGCUGCUCGGAUUCAUGACAAACAGAAGCUGAAAUCAUUCUGGGAGCAGAGGAUUGUUCAACACUGCGAGCAGAUGGACAAGGAGAACAAUCGUGUGAGGAGCAGCUCUCUGACACGGUUAAAGGAGCAGUGGUUGGUCAGGUUAGAUCAGAGGUAUCAGCACCAAAAGAGCUUCUUUGAGGAGAGAAUCAGACGAGCUCAGAUGGUUCAGCAGAGCGCCAGGAAGAUUGAUUCUCCCUAAAGGGAAACAUGUGCCUCCUCCACCCAGGGUUAAGCCAUUUUGUGAUGAUCCACAUUGGAACAACAGCCUCACUGCAUGACUCUGCGGGACUACCUCCACCAUAAUGGAAAAAGCUUACAUGCUAC